GAAACAAAUAUACAUUUCAAGUAAACUUGGCCUGAUGUUUUCUAAGCUGUCCACCUGUUUCUGACAUCUUGGCCUACUUGAUGAAUGGACCAACUUAAGUUUGAGGUGAGAACAUUUUCAAAGUUGGACCCACUUGGUGGACAGCUAGGAUAUUGAACUUGUCGGCCACGAUGGUACUUAUGAUGGCAUUUUGAUGCUGAACUUAAGAAUCAGGGCUGCAAUUUGAGGGCUAUUUCCUCGAAAUUUAAUCAUUUCUUCUUAAUUAAAUUAAAUAUUUGCAAUUUAAUUUAUUUGUUCAUCUCAACAUGGCCUUAGCAUAUUUUGGGAAAAGAAGAAAGGAGAUCAUCUAGUAAUGUGCUCUAUGACCCUUAUUUUACAGAUUUAUUUUUAUU